rnacentral:rRNA from 1 species
AUACGGAGGGUGCGAGCGUUGUUCGGAAUUAUUGGGCGUAAAGAGCAUGUAGGCGGUCUGUUAAGUCUGGUGUGAAAGCCCGGGGCUCAACCCCGGAAGUGCAUUGGAUACUGGCAGACUUGAGUAUGGGAGAGGAAAGCGGAAUUCCGUGUGUAGGAGUGAAAUCCGUAGAUAUUCGGAGGAACACCAGUGGCGAAGGCGGCUUUCUGGACCAAUACUGACGCUGAGAUGCGAAAGCGUGGGGAGCGAACAGGAUUAGAAACCCCUGUAGUCC